CGGAGAGAAACAUCUAUCAGGUUUUAUCUAUAUGGGAGGAAAAUAAACACCGAGAUGUUACACCGUUCAGCACCAGUGGUCUUGUGGCUUUUCUUCUUCUUCUUCUGCUCAUUUUUUUCUUUUCUCUAAUGCUCGGAAACCUACAUCAACUAUUCCUAAACAUGACGGUAUAAUAUACGAUCAAAAUCAACCAAGGAACUCCAGCUCAAGCCAACGUAAGACUAGUAAUCGAUCUUGGUGGAAAAUUAUUUGCAUCAUCAUCUCGGAUUCACUUGCAUAUUUAAGGUUUGGUUUUUCUGCGUCUGUAGGUUCGUUAUUGAUACUUGUAAAUGCUUGAAGGAGAGAAAAACUUAUCUGGUUUGGAAUGCUGUGGGUGUUCUUGGUGUCUCUGCUCUGAGUGAUAUUGUCAACGAGGUUUGUACACAGAUCCAAGGAAUGAGUGGUUUCGAACAUGACUACCAUUGGAAAGUUUGCAGUAAGAGUGAAGAUUUGUUUCCAAUAGCUGCAAACUAGAGAAUCGCAGCUAUCUAGGUAAAUUGGUAAACUGGAGUUUCACCACAUUUUCGACAUGUAAGCUUAGACAUGCAAGUUGAACAUUAUGUUGAAAAGAAACCGUGGAACAAGAAGGAACACAAAGAAAUGCAAAUGUAAAUAUAAGACCUUACUAGUUAUGCAAAAUCCUAGAGUUACUCCCAAGAAUGAAAGUAAAGAACUAAAGAAGGAAGAAUCUUGCAUAUCAACUCACCUGUGGAUGCAAUUCAGGCAUGUGGAGGACAGAUGACUGCUGAUGGAAAGCAUCAUCGCUAUGGUGGUGGCAUAUUAUGGGGCAUUCUGAAGAAACAUGACCCUAAUGCUUACAAAGAGAUCAUGGUCAAGGGCAAGGAAAUUGAGAGGCAAUUCAAACAACAAGCGCCAAAGGAAUUAAACCCGUCUUUGCAAAAGACUGCACAAUCCUCAAUUGCUGGUCCAAUGAUUAACCAGACAUCAGCUGGAACUGCCCUUGCACCUCCUCUAAACUGUCGACCCGCAGCUUGUAAUAUAAAAAGAGACCGUAUAUCUGUUAUGAAUAGGAUUCGGGUACCUGUAACUUAUGAUGACUUGCUUGGAGAAGAAGUGGAGGACCAUGAGCGAACGUGAUGAUUUUUUUUUCUGAAUCAGGGCAUACUCAGCUGAUACGUGUAAAGAAUGCAAUUUUAAUUUUGUUGAUGUGAUUCUUCCUUAA